UACGGAGGGUGCAAGCGUUAUCCGGAUUUAUUGGGCUUAAAGGGUGCGCAGGCGGUUUAUUAAGUCAGUGGUGAAAGACGGUCGCUCAACGAUUGAAGUGCCAUUGAUACUGGUAGACUUGAGUGAGAUAGAGGUAGCUGGAAUGGAUAGUGUAGCGGUGAAAUGCAUAGAUAUUAGCCAGAACACCAAUUGCGUAGGCAAGUUACUAAGUCUAAACUGACGCUGAGGCACGAAAGUGUGGGUAUCAAACAGG
rnacentral:rRNA from 1 species